rnacentral:tRNA from 1 species
GCCGGCGUAGCACAACGGGAGUGCGGUCCCCCAGUAAGGGACAGGUUGGGAGUUCAAAUCUCUCCGCCGGCUCCA